UACGGGUGGUGCAAGUGUUAUUCCUCUUGACUAGGUGUAAAGGGCUCGUAGGCGGCCAACUAAGUCGGACGUGAAAUCCCCAGGCUCAACCUGGGAACUGCGUCCGAUACUGGAUGGCUUGAAUUCGGGAGAGGGAUGCAGAAUUCCAGGUGUAGCGGUGAAAUGCGUAGAUAUCUGGAGGAAUACCGGUGGCGAAGGCGGCAUCCUGGACCGACAUUGACGCUGAGGAGCGAAAGCUAGGGGAGCAAACGGG
rnacentral:rRNA from 1 species